rnacentral:rRNA from 1 species
CUUAGCUGGUCACCGCCACAACAGUAGCGACUGAAAGGAGCUGAGAGGACAGGUUAGAAAAACGGGGGGAGAAGAGAUGUAUCGGAGGGAGGGUAGCGGGUCCGGCUGGAUUUCGGCAGGUAAGGCAGCAGAGGUACGAGAUCCUGUUGCUCGUGCGCCCUCGGGUGCAGAGGUGGGGGUGGCGGCCGGCGUAGAGUCUCUUAAAGCUCCUACAGCUGAGGAAGUUCCUUCUCCGACUACUCCCUGAAGUUCGCCGACUACGUCCUGGGAGGACGCCCGUAUUCGCCCCGCGGCGUCCUGUUGUUGUAUUACGACACCUUACGACACUAAAAACCGGGACUGCUAUCGGGGACCCUGCCUCCAUGCAAAUUCGACUGAGAGGUCAAAUUACUUCUUAUAGGAUUAUUCGGUGGUUGUCAAGCCAAAUAAAGAGCCUACAAAGUGGGAUUGUAAAUACGACUACCUUCGUAUACGAAUCUAUAGGAUGUCUUAGUCACCUCGGGUUAUAUACUACAUCGACGAUAUGAAUGUAGAUAGGUCAGCGACGACACACUAGGAUUGGGCUUAAGCGGACGAUUGAGUCUUCGACGGGCGUACAAGUCACUCUUGUUCGCUCUCAUGUUGGCGUUUCACGCCCUCUAACAACUCGUCUCGACCUGCCGUCUGAUUAUUCAACUCGAGUGGUACACAAUAGUACGCCAAAGACAUGGUUUUACAAACAUUGAUUUUACUGACUUGAGGCAGCAAUGGUGGACUUUGUCGUUGAACGAAACAACGUAGUAAACCGACCUGCCAACCUCUAACGAGACAGUACCGGACACGGAUAUGACAGACAUAGACCUUGUGUUUGUAAAACAUUGUAGAACACACCCAAACAUUACAACAUAGUAUAGCAUAACUAAGACUUGAGGCCGCGUAUAGAAGUGAGUGAUAUCAACUUACCACAUCUUCAAGAUUUUUUAGUACUUUUGUUACUUCACCGAUUUAUAGUACACG